CCUUCGUGGUAGGCAGGUCCCGGCGGAGUGCGGUCUUGUUUAUCAACAACAGCUCAGAUGGUAGUGUUCCUCCCUGGGCUUAGUCAGUUAUCCUCACUAUAUGGUGUUAAGAUGGAACUCUGAGGAAAGUGUGUUCACAUAUAAGAUUAAUUUCUGGCUGCCCAUCUUAAGGAAAUAUGCCUACUUCCUGCUCAGCCAAACCAGCAGACACCUACUUCGGUGGAGCAGAUGUUGACUGAGAAUAGUAUGCAGUAGUGACUUUGCAAUGAUACUGCAAGUGCCAUCUCGACAACAUGGAGUUAAAAAUCUAAAAAAGGUCUGACUUUCACCAGAAGAAAUUCUUGCAGUGCCAACACCCAGUGGUAUUAAUGCUAUUGAGUCAGAAAUACUGCACACAUAAUAGUACCAGCAGUGUCAGGAAGUGCAUCAUAUUGUCAAGGAUGUUACACGUACAGAGGCAAAUUUUUGUUGUCCUGAUCACAUUUCAAACUCCUUAGCAGCCUGUUAUGUCCACUCAUCUGAAGCACUGUACUGGUAUUAUCAAUAUCUCGUGCACUGUGACCAUGGUGACAUUUGUCUGAAGCACUGUACUGGUAUUAUCAAUAUCUCGUGCACUGUGACCAUGGUGACAUUUGUCUGAAGCGCUGUACUGGUAUUAUCAAUAUCUCAUGCACUGUCGCCAUGGUGACAUUUGUCUGAAGCACUGUACUGGUAUUAUCAAUAUCUCGUGCACUGUGACCAUGGUGACAUUUGUCUGAAGCGCUGUACUGGUAUUAUCAAUAUCUCAUGCACUGUCGCCAUGGUAAUACUCAUCUGAAGCACUGUACUAGUAUUAUCAACAUCUCAUGCAUUGUCACCAUGGUAGCACUCUUCUGAAGCACUGUAUCGGUAUUGUCAACAUCUUAUACAUUAUGACACCAUGAUAACACUAAUACAUUAUAUAGUAAAUGUGAA